rnacentral:rRNA from 2 species
CUACUCCUACCGGGAGGCAGCAGUAGGGAAUCUUCCGCAAUGGACGAAAGUCUGACGGAGCAACGCCGCGUGAGUGAUGAAGGUUUUCGGAUCGUAAAGCUCUGUUGUUAGGGAAGAACAAGUGCAAGAGUAACUGCUUGCACCUUGACGGUACCUAACCAGAAAGCCACGGCUAACUACGUGCCAGCAGCCGCGGUAAUACGUAGGUGGCAAGCGUUGUCCGGAAUUAUUGGGCGUAAAGGGCUCGCAGGCGGUUUCUUAAGUCUGAUGUGAAAGCCCCCGGCUCAACCGGGGAGGGUCAUUGGAAACUGGGAAACUUGAGUGCAGAAGAGGAGAGUGGAAUUCCACGUGUAGCGGUGAAAUGCGUAGAGAUGUGGAGGAACACCAGUGGCGAAGGCGACUCUCUGGUCUGUAACUGACGCUGAGGAGCGAAAGCGUGGGGAGCGAACAGGAUUAGAUACCCUGGUAGUCCACGCCGUAAACGAUGAGUGCUAAGUGUUAGGGGGUUUCCGCCCCUUAGUGCUGCAGCUAACGCAUUAAGCACUCCGCCUGGGGAGUACGGUCGCAAGACUGAAACUCAAAGGAAUUGACGGGGGCCCGCACAAGCGGUGGAGCAUGUGGUUUAAUUCGAAGCAACGCGAAGAACCUUACCAGGUCUUGACAUCCUCUGACAACCCUAGAGA